rnacentral:rRNA from 1 species
CCAUUAGAUGUUCUGGGCAGCACGCGCGCUACAAUGGUCUUCGCAAACGGAUGCAUUCUCGAAGGAGAAUGCCAAUCUUGGAAUCUAUGCCUUGGUCGGGACAGUUGCUUGCAAUUUUUCGACUCGAACCAGGAAUUCCUUGUAAUCGUGAUUCAUCACAUCACGAUGAAUACGUCCCUGCCCUUUGUACACACCGCCCGUCGCUCCUACCGAUCGAAGAGUUAGGUGAAUUGUUUUGAUCGAUAAGAUUUGACUAUGGUCAACUCUCGUUGUGAAAUUCUGUGAAUCUGACUGUUUAGAGGAAGGAAAAGUCGUAACA